AUACGUAGGUGGCAAGCGUUGUCCGGAUUUACUGGGCGUAAAGGGUGCGUAGGCGGAUAUUUAAGUGGGAUGUGAAAUACCUGAGCUCAACUCGGGUGCUGCAUUCCAAACUGGAUAUCUAGAGUGCAGGAGAGGAGAAUGGAAUUCCUAGUGUAGCGGUGAAAUGCGUAGAGAUUAGGAAGAACACCAGUGGCGAAGGCGAUUCUCUGGACUGUAACUGACGCUGAGGCACGAAAGCGUGGGUAGCAAACAGGAUUAGAUACCCUGGUAGUCCACGCCGUAAACUAUGAAUACUAGGUGUAGGGGGGAACCUCCCUCUGUGCCGCAGUUAACACAAUAAGUAUUCCGCCUGGGGAGUACGGUCGCAAGACUAAAACUCAAAUGAAUUGGCGGGG
rnacentral:rRNA from 1 species